rnacentral:misc_RNA from 1 species
AUGAAGCUUCUCCAUUGGCAUCCAGUCUCCUGGACCACAGAGAUCAGAAAGCACAUUAGCUACAGAUGAUACAACAUCCUUUUCUUCUAACAGCAAGAGCUGCUGAUUGUCAGCAUCUCUGUCAGCUCGAAAUCUUCCAUCUAUCUUCUUAUCUAAUUGCCCAGAAAUCGAAGCCUUCCCACUGGAACCACACGAACCAUACCCAUAGCCGCCACCCUCAGGACCUUCACCCCUCCUCAUCUUCUUACCUACUGAACCACCAUCAUCAUCGUCGUCAUCAUAUUCCUCCUCGUAAUACUCUCUCCCUCUGAAUAAGCCCUUGUUCACUGCCCCACCAUAUCCCGCACCUACAUUCGCAACAGGAGACGGUGACAAAUGCUGCUGCUGGUGGUGAUGAUGGGCAAUGGCGGCAGGACCCGCCACUGGAUAAUUCGCAUUGACAUGUUGUCCCCUGGACCCACCAAGGAUGCUACGAAUUGGAAGGAGGAAAUAGAACUCUUUAUCUCCGAUCUGAAGAAGGUCUUGAGAAUCUAGCUUGAUGGGUGGGGUACCGGGAAGGUGAAGAACACCUUCAACUGAACACCCGUUUUUGCCCAGUACUUCGAGGGCAAAACGACGUCGUUGGAAGUCGUAGAAGAUGCGAGCAUGGUGGCGGGAGAUGUUCAUUCCGCCACCGAGAGAUGAUAAGUCGACAUCUACCGUUGAUUUUUUGGAAUUCCGGCCAAGGAUUAUGGAGUAAGUUUGCAUGUAAUACUCGAAAUCUUCACCUUGUAGCUUCGCGAAUCCCGCUUCUACAUCGCUACCGCUGCUGCUUCCCAUCUCAACGGACUAUCAGGUGAUGAAUAACCGAGUUUCCUUUCUCCGGCGAAGAAUCUCCGACGAGAAAAAGAGUGCUUUGAAAA